rnacentral:tmRNA from 1 species
GGGGGCGCUUGGUUUCGACUUCGGUUGUCGAGACGGGAGAAGCGAGCCGUGGUUGCCGGAGUCCACGUUAAAGAGCCGGUACCAAAAACAAACGCGAACGACAAUCUCGCGCUCGCUGCUUAAUUAAGUAGCGCGUCCGUCCGGUCUCAGCCCUGUGGGCCGGUCACGGGCGUCAUCUAGCGGGGCUUACCCAUCGGGCUUUGUCAGGGGGUCCGGUGGGGACAUCUCACCUGACUGGAGCGGUCGCCGAGCGCCGGCGACGUGUGACCGCUCGAGAUCUUCCGCCGGCUGCGCUCGGAGAAGUCCCGUUAAGAACCCGAAGGACGAGGGUUCGAAUCCCUCCGCCUCCACGA